CAAACACACCCCCAUUAAACAUAAAUACGCAUUCACUGAGUCUAUAUACUGAGCAGAUCGAAUAAUUUAUUGACGCUGCAGCGAUUUGAGAUCACUUGGAAAAAAUGCCUGUGACACCGGCGAAGAUUCAUUCCUGCGACUUAAAAAGCUACAGGAAGAUCACCGCACCUUUCUCCGGAUGUAAACUGAGAUUAAACGGCUGCUUCUGCCAAAUAUAGCCCACCAGCAGAGCAGCGACCUCGGCCAGGACAUCCUCCAGGAACCGCAGGAGGAGCCGCUGCUUCUCCUGAACAUCCAGAGG